GGGGACAGGGCUGCUCAGCCUGAGGGAAAGGAGGGCUGGGGGAGCUUAUCGCGCCCCACGGCUGCCUGGAAGGAGGCCGCAGCCAAGCGCGGGUCUGCCUCUCCUCACGGAAAGGGUGGUCAGGCACCGGAACACGCUGCCCCCGGCGAUGGUGGAGUCAGCAUCGCUGGAGGUAUUUAAAGGAGCAUGGAUGUGGCACCUAAGGAUGUGGUUUAGAGAUGGAGUUGGCGGCACCAUGACAGACACCUAAUAACAAAAGAUUUCUCAAUUUUUCUCCUUCUUCCACUCUUGAAGUUUCUCUGCUAGCUGUUUUCAAUGUUUAUUCACCAAAUCAGCGCAUGCGUUGCAGGCUUCAUCUUUGUGACUUGAAAAGCACAGACAAUUUUAGCCGAAGAAUGGAGAAAAUAAAUAGGAAAUUUUCAGAUUAUAUGUUUUCCUUAU